UACGAAGGGGGCUAGCGUUGCUCGGAAUCACUGGGCGUAAAGCGCACGUAGGCGGCUUCUUAAGUCAGGGGUGAAAUCCUGGAGCUCAACUCCAGAACUGCCUUUGAUACUGAGGAGCUUGAGUCCGGGAGAGGUGAGUGGAACUGCGAGUGUAGAGGUGAAAUUCGUAGAUAUUCGCAAGAACACCAGUGGCGAAGGCGGCCACCUGGACGGUAACUGACGCUGAGACGCGAAAGCGUGGGGAGCAAACAGG
rnacentral:rRNA from 1 species